AUUGAACGCUGGCGGCAGGCUUAACACAUGCAAGUCGAGCGGAGAUGAGGUGCUUGCACCUUAUCUUAGCGGCGGACGGGUGAGUAAUGCUUAGGAAUCUGCCUAUUAGAGGGGGACAACAUUCCGAAAGGAAUGCUAAUACAGCAUACGUCCUACGGGAGAAAGCAGGGGAUCUUCGGACCUUGCGCUAAUAGAUGAGCCUAAGUCGGAUUAGCUAGUUGGUUGGGUAAAGGUCUACCAAGGCGACGAUCUGUAGCGGGUCUGAGAGGAUGAUCCGCCACACUGGGACUGAGACACGGCCCGGACUCCUACGGGAGGCAGCAGUGGGGAAUAUUGGACAAUGGGGGGAACCCUGAUCCAGCCAUGCCGCGUGUGUGAAGAAGGCCUUAUGGUUGUAAAGCACUUUAAGCGAGGAGGAGGCUACUGAGACUAAUACUCUUGGAUAGUGGACGUUACUCGCAGAAUAAGCACCGGCUAACUCUGUGCCAGCCGCCGCGGUAACAC
rnacentral:rRNA from 1 species